UUUUGUUGUCAUUUAUCAAAUGAAGAUUUAGGGUUUCUUGUGAAGAAGCAUGAGCUUACAAAAGCUCUUGUAAUGACAAGCUCGAUAAGGUGCUGAAUCCAUGGCGACCAUACAUUUCUCUAGCUCUGUAACAAGCAGGAGCUUGCAAUCGUUUGAUGGGCUUCGGCCAUUAACGGUUAGGAUUUCUUCAAUUCAACCUUGUAAUGUGGUUGUCAACCAGAGGAGUUUCCGAGGACUCACCGUCACGGCUGCCACCAUCGUCACUCCAAAGUACACUUCAAUUGAUGCAUGUAAAAUGUGGGAUGAUGAUCGAUGCCCACCAGUUGUUCGAUGAAAUGCUUGAAAGGAACUCAGUUUCUUGGAACACCAUUAUAGGAGGGAUGGUUUGAGUUAUUUCAUCUGAUUUAUGUCAUUUUCUUUCGUUCCUUGAACUCAUACUAUAGCUUGGAGUCUGUAAAAGUGGGUCCCAUGGUUUGGUGAUGCAGACCAGUGAUUUGAUGGAGUUCUCUAUGCAUAGACUAAGGAAAUCCUGAUGAAUUGUAUGUUUGGUGGGGCACAUUGUUCAAGUAGUCAAUCUGGUGGGUGCAAGAGUCACCCAAUUUGGAAGAUCUUUAACUUUGGCCUCUUCCAUAAUUGAAUGUGGACAUUGCUGCAUUUUCUUGUUCUUAACCAUCUAUUUGCACACCAUGAAUUGAGAGGUUAAGAUUGUACUGUUGAGGAGAUCUUCCACCGUAGCAUGGCAGAUUAAUGGUGAAGUUCAUCAGAUCAGCAGCCUGUUUCACCAAAACAUGGGCCUUUAAUGGAUAUCCGAUGACUCUACACAUGUUAGGACUUGGGACCUUGUAAUUCUUCAUUACAUAACAAAACUCCCUACACCUUUUACUGUUCUCUGAAAUGCAUCAGAAAAGCUUUAACACCUUGUAGAACUGAUAGUAUCUCACUUCUACUUUAGAAUCCUGAAUACAUAACUGGCAAGAAUACACAACUUUCACUUCACCUAGUUGAUCUUUCAAGAGUCAAUGUACCUCCCGCUGGUCCGUCUUGGAUUUCCAAUCGAAAAAUGAUCACAUAAGUUUAGAAAGCUUUCUAUUCUUAACUAUCAUGUUGCAACUUAUCCAGUUCUUGAAUCAUCCGCAUUCAUGAAGCAAAGCUUUUUAAGAAUUUAAAGUACUUUGUACUUUGUACACAUGGUUUUGGGACAACAUGAUAAAUGGAACCCAUCUGAAGAUGGCUAGCAUUUCCCUGCUUUUUUUCCCCUGAUCAGAAUUCAUGAUAACAAUAAAGAGGGGAUAGUCCCAUUUUGCUCUAAACCAUGAAAAAAAAUUCAGCUGAGUUGGUUGUUAUGUUGUUGGAAGUGCUGGCACGAAACAGAAGGCACAUCUUUUGUUGGAAUUACAACCUUAUUAGCAUUGAGGCAUAUUCCCUUUAUGACACAGAUAAAAUUUCAAUGAUAUGUUUCAAGUUGAUCUUUUGAAGAACGAGCUAGGCUUUGAUGAAGCUUUCAAUUACAAAGAGGAGCUAGACUUGGAUGCAACCUUGAAAAUGUGGGUUGAUGAGGUUAUUCCUGAUGCACCACGGGUUAUCACACAGGAAUUCAUCGACAAGCACAAAAUAGAUUAUGUGGCACUGUCACACGACUCUCUUCCAUUUAUGUUUCCAUGGAGGGUGUGGAGCAAGAGAAGGUGGAAACUGUUUUCAGGCCAAUGUCUGUUGAUAUUAAAUUCCAUGAUGUUCAAGGGAAGAAUUACUGUUGUGCCAUACUGAAGUUGAACAAGGAGAUUGUGCCUGAGCAAUGCAAGGUGGUUGUUAAUCCCAACCGAGUCAUUGUCACAGUCUAAAGCUUCAAAAGGUAAUUGGCUUGAUUUGCACUUCAAAGAUGAUAAGAAGCACCACCAGAUCAACAGUCAGGAGAUUGCGAAGAGUAGUAUUCAGAUGGCUUCCUGCACUUUUCUCCAAUAACAUGGUGGUGAAACUGUCUUGAUCACGUUGAUAUGGUGGGCCACAAUGUGGAUGAUGAGACAACUCUUUGACUAUCCAAUUGCUGUGAGUUUUACUUUGUUGAGUGUAGACCACUGCUGUUGACUCUUCCUUUGCAAUGCUACUACUUGUGGGAGGGUUCCUGAAGUCCAAUCCUAUUCUCUUUGGGAUAUGGCUAGGAGUAUAUAUAUCCAUCUUCUCCUACAUGUAUUGGCCAUCUGAUUACUGGAUCAGACUGACUUCUGGGCCUGGGCAUGUUCAUGGUGGCACCCACCCAAUGAGUGGUACAGAUCUCACAUACCUGUUCAUGGUGGCCUGGGUGUGUGCUGCAAAUUGCCUUCUGAUCAGAUGAUCCUACCCAUAUGAUUGAGGUCCAUCAAAUGGAUGGCUUAAAAUCACAAAUUUUAUUUCAACAGGCAAGAUUAAAUGCCUAGAAUCAGUUCAUGUACCAUCUGUGAUGGGGGCCAAGAGCUGGAUUGAUUUCUUAGCAUUAUGCUCAUCCUUUUUCUUCUACUACUAAUGUCCUCAGUGCAAUAGUUUCUGGCCCCAGGUGGACAGGAAAAUCCUGAUCAAAGAAAACUUCCAAGCAAGAUAACCAAAAAUGCCGAGAUCAAGGUUGAAGAUGUUGUGUUCGCAAUGGGUUACCAUCGACGCCCAAAUUCGGUUCGACAAUCCACCUCAGGUUGGUUUGUCAUUUGCAAAUGGCAUGUGUUUGUUGAUUGAAACGGUCUCUUGUACGAUUCUAGUAUGCUUUUCAAGAGAUUAGACAAAGAAAUUAGUGUUGUCCUUGUUUUGUAUUCACAUUUUGUAUGAGUUGAGUCAUUGAUUUAAUACAUUAUGAAUGAAGUCUACAUUUGUUUCUUUCACAAACAAAUUGACUGAAUUUUUAGUAGAUUUAAAUUCAUAACAUCACUGGUAUAGUUUGGAUUCAUGCUGACUUUUCUUAGAUGUUAAAACUUCAAUUUAGAUAUUGAACUGGCAGCUGCCGUCAUAAAUCCAGGUCUUGCUGGCAUUGAUUUCUAUGACUACCCUGAUUGGUUUUGCAUACAACCAUUUUCAUUUUGGGAUUUGAGGUAGUAUAAAUGGGGUUUAUGCAAAUCAGCAUUGGUGGUGUGCAAAAUCAAUUUUUCGUAGACUCAUUUUUGUUUCCAUGUUUUAAAUAUGGGCCACAUUCUCUUGCAGAACUUCAUUUUUAGCAUUGUAGUGGCUACCUUCCUGAUUCAUUGAUGGUGGAUUGAUCCUCUUGAGGCCUGAAGCCCGCUCCAGUUUGCGGCAGCUGCGGCAUUUCUUAAUAAAUUAUACAAAGACUAUCUUGGUAUUAUUAGGAGUUGUGGAGGGAGUUGUGAUUCUCAGUCAUUUUCCAUGAAGUAUCGUUUGUUGACAAUGGGUUUGAAGCUCAUCUUGUUGUGUGCAUGAUAUCCAAUCUGUCCAUUACAUUGUCCACCACAUUUUCUUCUUAUGUACCAAAA